rnacentral:lncRNA from 1 species
GCAUAUAACCGUGAGGCAUGCCCUAAGGGAAACCAGGUGGCAUGUGAUAUUGUUGAUCGUUGACGGCCGCCACUGGAAUGGGCGUCGAGACGUUCUCAGAGAUUGCUGUUCGUUGCAAUGGAUCUUGAGAAUUGUUCGAUGACUGAUUCUGAGCAGCCACCAAAGUGUCCAUCAUAGUAGUAAGUCUUUCUAAACUAUCUUUCAAGGUGAUUACUUCCUCCCUGAGCUCUUGGUUUUCUUGUUCAAGUUGACUCAUCCUUCUCCGGCGACUGGCUCGAGUAUUGUAUUAGUGAUUCAAUUUGACUAUUGGAGGGAGAAGACACGUGUAAGUUUCUUGAAAUGCAGGAACUUGUGCUUGAAUGAUGCAUGAUAUGCAUAUGCAAAAGAUGAUUUUUAAUUUUUAAGAAACUCAAUAAUUUAUUGCAAAUAUUAUAGAGAUAAAAUUUGGUAUAAGAUGAACAAAAACCUCUUUUUGUUAAACAAUUGAGGGAUUACAAAGGGUGAAAUACAAUUUCAACGAUCCAUACAAGAGGGAAACAACUAAGUCUAUGAGUCCUAAGGAAUCUCAUAUGUAGAAGGUCCUGCUGCUGGCUGAUGCUUUCUUUUCUACCUCUUAAGCUGAGCAUUCUCGAUCAUAAGCUUGUCGACGAUUCCCUUCCAAGCACCUGAGGUGGGAGGUAUGAUGGAGUAUUCAUGAAAAGGUUGGACUUUAGAGAGAAGUAAACCUUCUUAUUCCUCUUGUUUCUUCACAGCUUGUUGUUCCAAAAUCUCAAUCAAAUCAUCCUUCUCCUUUAGUUGCUGCUCCAUCUUCAUCUUCUUAUCAUUCAAGACAUGGUACUUGCCUUCCCAAGUGUCUCUUUCCAAUUUAAACCUAUCCAAAAUUUC